rnacentral:rRNA from 1 species
CCCUUAGAUGUUCUGGGCUGCACGCGCGCUACACUGAUGCACUCAACGAGUUUACGACCUUGCCCGAUAGGGUUGGGUAAUCUUUUUAAAAUGCAUCGUGAUGGGGAUAGAUUAUUGCAAUUAUUAAUCUUCAACGAGGAAUUCCUAGUAAGCGCGAGUCAUCAGCUCGUGCUGAUUACGUCCCUGCCCUCUGUACACACCGCCCGUCGCUCCUACCGAUUGAGUGCUCAGGUGAAUAAUUCGGACUGCAGCAAUGUUUGGAUCCCGAACGUUGCAGCGGAAAGUUUAGUGAACCUUAUCACUUAGAGGAAGGAGAAGUCGUAACA